AGGCAGCAGUGGGGAAUAUUGCACAAUGGGCGCAAGCCUGAUGCAGCGACGCCGCGUGAGGGAUGACGGCCUUCGGGUUGUAAACCUCUUUCAGUACCGACGAAGCGCGAGUGACGGUAGGUACAGAAGAAGCACCGGCCAACUACGUGCCAGCAGCCGCGGUAAUACGUAGGGUGCGAGCGUUGUCCGGAAUUACUGGGCGUAAAGAGCUCGUAGGCGGUUUGUCGCGUCGUCUGUGAAAACCCGCAGCUCAACUGCGGGCUUGCAGGCGAUACGGGCAGACUUGAGUACUGCAGGGGAGACUGGAAUUCCUGGUGUAGCGGUGAAAUGCGCAGAUAUCAGGAGGAACACCGGUGGCGAAGGCGGGUCUCUGGGCAGUAACUGACGCUGAGGAGCGAAAGCGUGGGUAGCGAACAGGAUUAGAUACCCUGGUAGUCCACGCCGUAAACGGUGGGCGCUAGGUGUGGGUUUCCUUCCACGGGAUCCGUGCCGUAGCUAACGCAUUAAGCGUCCCGCCUGGGGAGUACGGCCGCAGACUA
rnacentral:rRNA from 1 species